AUAACUUUAAAAGCGCCUGAACUAAGCUGGAGCGACCAUGAGCUUAGUUGACGAGGAGGAGGUUUAUCGAAGUAUCGGCGGAUGCCUCCCGGUUGAACCAACCACAACCGUAACGUUCUGUAAAAAGCAAAGGGGUGACCCUUUGUACAAAUGCAGUUCGAUGGUUAACA
rnacentral:ncRNA from 2 species